rnacentral:lncRNA from 1 species
CCUUUGUCUUCCAACUUAAUUAGAGUUUCUUAUUAUAUUCACUGCAUUGUGUAGGAUCUGAGUUUUGUAUUUGUCACCCUCUAGAAUGCACAAUGCAGAAGUUCAGUGUUUCAGGAAUUUGGCAGAAACUGGCCCAGUGAAAGCAGGUCUUACAGCAUUCCCUUCUGCUCAAAGGGAGAACUGCCCAGUCUCCUUUCUAAGGCGAAUCAUGCCACCCGCACAUUGUCAAUCAUAUUGCUGCCCGUCACCUCUGAAUAAUUCUUUUUCUUUUUAUCAGUUAACGCAGCAUUUGUUAUCUAACACAAUUCCCAAAGGUCUUCUGAGCACUUCCUGGAGUUGUUAUGUGUGUGAGUCAGGAUAUCAGCAAACGUAUUUGGAGGAGGUUAACAAUUUGUUCUAAUAAAUUCAUCAAUUAAGCAGUGGCUAUCUGGAGCGUGUUCUUCUCAAAGUGAAGGGCAAAAAGGAAAGAGUCAAAGCCAAACAAUAUGAGCACACUUAACAUCUCUUCUCUGGUCAUGUCGGCUAAUAUUCCAUUGGUCAAAGCAAGUCACAGGACCAUGUCCAAACAUAAUGGAACAGCUGAGUCUACUCCUCUGACAGAGAGGUGGGCAUAGCAAAGAUGGAGAGCAAAGGAAUAAUUUGGAAGCAAACAAUACAACUCUAACCUCUUGGUCACAAUUAUUAAUUUCCCUUCUAUUGGCAAAAUACAUUUAUUUCUUUCCCGAAUUACCAGAAAAUCUUAUAUCAUCAUGAAAAUACCCACUUAUGGGGCUAUUGUAAGGAUGAGUGAGACUAAAUAGACAGCACCCACACAAAUCCUCGGACAUAGGAGUUAUAUUCUGUAGCCAUUAAUAUUAGCCAUGAUAAUGAUAAAUGUGAUAUUUAAUUUUAUAGUAAUGUUAAUAUAGUUAAACGCCUUUCUAUUUUUAUCUGAAACAUUAUCACUAUAUUAUAUUACAGAAUAUUUUAUUU